rnacentral:lncRNA from 1 species
GCCGCAGCGGAGGAGACCCCGCCUGGACGCCGAGCAGGCAGGGACCCGAGCCCAGACCCUUGCUCGCCAUCGGUCACAGGAGAUGCCCCCUCCCCAGGCAGAGCAGCUGUGCUCAGGAGGGAAAGCCGAGCCAAGCUGAGCCCACACCCUGAGAAACCAGAACUAAAGGAGCAGAUGGAAGAGAGAAAGUCUGCACAAGUGGAGGAAGAAAAUCCCCCAGAAUGGAUAAGGUCAUGGUAGACUAGGUGGAAACCAAAAUUGGGGAGGAAAAGUUGGAUAAGAAACUGUAGGGUGGGCUGGGAUUUAGCUCAGUGGCACCACGCCUGCCUUGCAAGUGCAAGGUCCUGAGUUUGAUCUGCAGUGUCAAAAAAAACAAGAAGAAAGAAACUGCAGGGAAGCUGAGGAUGGCGCAUGUCCUCCAGCCUUCCAGGCACAGCCUGCACCAAGCAGUGCGGUCAGGAGGGAAAGGGAUUCCACCGUGGAUUCAUGCGCCAGGUCAAGGAGCUCCCCUGGGUGGACUCAGAGCAGGAUUAUGUGGCCUGGAAGUGCCCAGUCCGAGGGAGGGAAGAGAGCACUGUGAGGGCCCGGCCCAGGCCCCAGGGACUAGAAUCUGGAGCCGCCCUCAUUGUAGGUGCCAGGCGAGUGUGAGGAGUGUGAGCAUGGGGGGAAUGCCUUGGCCAGAGAAGGUGGAGACCGCACCUUCAGCUGUUCUGCUGUGACUUAGGGAGGUGCAGGACGGGGGACUCCUGCCUCAGAACUAGUGAGAUUCUUCUGUCCUCCUCCACUUGCAACCAGUGAAGAUUUGGACACAGCAUCUCUCACAGACUUAGUAAUUGUUCAGGUUUUCUCACCCUGUGUUAAAACUUGGGAGUUUAGAUAACAGAAAGACGUUCUCACUUUCCCAAAGCUCUAGAGGGAGAACACAAGCAGUUUGAACACCAUGUGGCAUUUACCCUGCAGUAGGGGUGUGGCAGCACAGAAUGUGGUGGACAGGGCGGAGAUGCUGUGCUUCGGGACAGGAGAGCAGCAGAGGAGGCCCUGAGCACAGUCCCAUUUCACCAGAGCUUGCAGGUGGGCAUCAGCAGGCGGGGCUGUGUGGGCAGGCUGCUCUCUCAGGUGGUGACGGUUUCCUCUGGAGAAGGAGCCUGUGUGUGACAGGACACCCAGGACAUGUGGGCAGAAAUACCUUUGCAGUGAUGAGAUGUUUGCAAUCACGUCAGUGCUGUCAUUGAGCAAGCACUGUUCAGAUCCUUCUCCAUGCUGGGCCCUAAGCUGGAAACUGUGCAGACAGAGCCAAAGAAACUGUCAUCCCAGCAUCCCCAGAGCUCUCAGACACGAAAAGCAGCAAGUGAUGGGAAGGACUCGGACAAAGAAGCCGCUGCUGGGUGGGACUGCAUCGGUGUUUGUGUUAAUUCUCCAUCUGGCUUCUCCCGCAGCUGCCACACCUGUCUGAAGGUAAUGACUGUGACCUCUCAAAAUAUCACCACCUCCUUGGCUCCAGGUUGGCUGAAGGCCACUCACAUUGCUCAGGUCUGAGGAUGCAGGUGACCUCAUCAGUGUCCCCUGACCGUGUCCCUGUCAGCUGCAGAAACCAAGAGGCAAGGUCAGUAAAACUUACAGGUUUCUCCCUGCCAUGUUACCCUCAUGUUCUUGGCUCUGUCAGGUAAGAGCUUUUAAACUUCACUCUUCUGUCUGCAUGAAGGCAAAUUACAUACUGGUCAUAUUCCUCAAACUGUAAUACUUGUUUUAUCCUCAAAUUUGAAAUAAAAUAGGGUAAAAAAUGAAGCCCUUCAUAUAGGGGUGUGUGAGACUAAAAUUCAGGUUUUACGAUGCUCAAGUGGUUGAAGAACAUGUUUUUAUUCUGCUAAAACAAGAAUGAGCUAAUACCCCUGCUGUGCUCCUCUUGUUGGCCUUAUCAGAUAUAAAAGCUCUACUGAGCUCCAGAGCUUAGAUCUGCAGCAGUUUAGCUCAUGCAGUGCAUUUGCUGCCCUGUGCUUAAAACACUGCUGGUUACACAGGGGACGCAGAGUUGGGCACGGCAGCCCUUAGAGGAGCUUCGCGUAUUUGCACCAGGGUCACUAAGGACUGUCAGUACCUUCUGUGACAACAUCUCUCGUGGACAGUUCUGAGCCCACUCUGGAGAAAGGGAAGAGGACAGUGACGGGGCACAGCCCUGGGCUCUCUGCCUCCCAAAGAUUUAGGAUGAAAGGACCCUGGGGAAUCUCUUCGGGGAGUGUCCUACAGGUGAGGGUUCACACACACUUCGCAUGGCUCCCAUCCCUGGUUUCCUUUCACAGAUAAUCGUCAGAUUUAGCAACAUCAGGAGGAGCCAGCCAGACAUGGACUGCAGAGCCUCAGUUCAAGAUGCUGCUGAGAAAGUGAAGCAGGCAGGAGUCAGUGCCGGAGAGGGGUCCAUGUCGGUGUCGGGAGAGCGCAUUGGUGGCCUUCAGCAGUGGUGGUGAAUCCUGGAGAGACGUCUGUCCCCAGGAGUCCCCGAUGACAGCUCCAGAUGCCAGAUGACUAAUAGAACCACUCCCUUGUGUUGACCUCACAGGAAGUCCUUGGAUGUACAUCUACUGCUACCGAGGUCACCAUGGCAGUACCACGCAGCCCCAGUCCAGGGGCUGAAGUGAAUGUUGUGGAGUUCAAGGAGUAUAAGUGCUCUUGGGUGGGAGACAAUGAACUGCAAUUUGAAGACCGCAGAUCAAGUUCCGUUAGACCUGAAGCAGCUCUUGGCUCCCUGGACACCAAAGUGCAGAAACGUGGUGAGUUGUGUAGGUUCACAGUAAGCAGGAUGAUAAAUGGUUCUGUUUUCUCUCCACAAAUGAAAUAGUUUCCAAAAGUGAUUCUUUUCUUCACUUUAUUGAAAUUAAUUUAUCUUCCCAUAUUUGUAGAAAGGCAGAAGUUGGUAUCUUGCCCUCCAUCUGGAUGGAAAACUGGGGCUCAAAGCAUUUACCAGUGUCUCCCAGUUCACACCAGGAGUGGGGUGGGACCCAGGUAAAAAUCCCAGUUACCGAUUCCCGUUGAAGGCAGGGAAUGGUGUGCUUUUCUCAAGAAUGGGUCAGGCCAUUUCGGUUAGGACCCUCUGUGUCCCUCUCGGACCCUCCAGAUGUGUAGCAUCGCUCUUGGCCUAAGGUUCUGGGACCAGGGCCCUUGCCUUGCCCUGAAGCUUCCAUGGAGUCUGAGUGGGCACAGCACCUGCUGGUUAUGUUGGGGCAAGCUGGGGCGACAGGUUUCAGAGGAGCUGGGGGGCCGGGGUUCCGCUCCUAACUGAACCUAUGGCAGCCACCGUUGUCACCACGGAGACCAGGGACUUGAUUGGCAGUGGGGAAGACCUGCUUCGUGGACACAGGCUCUCAGGCAUCCAGGAGAGCCGUGCCUGUCACUCAGUGGAGGGUGUGUCUGGGACAGGAGACUGUGGCCCCCGUCUGUCUCUCCAAGAGCGGGUGGACUAGGGAGGGGCUGGGCAGCAGGUCCAGGUGGACCUUGGGGGCCUGAGUCAGACUUGAGGCCGCAGGAGAGGCGGUGUGGAGGAGGCCAGCUGUGGCCCGGCCCAGGUCCCAAGCAGGGCGCCGCCUUCCCGUGCUGGGCCCCCAUAGCAGAGCGAUCGGCCUGUGCAGGAGAGGGGCUGUGGUGACCAAGGAGUCAGGGACCAGCUGGACCAGCGCUGGGGAGGUGCUUUGGGGCUGGGCCGAUGGGGGUGGAGCCCUGGCUCUCAGAACCAUUUUGUUCUUUUCCAGUUAUCUUUAAUUGUUAUUCUUCGUACUUGGUCAUCUACUUGUUUUGCUUUUUGCUUUUAUCUUGUUUUUUAUUUGGAGACAGAAAGUCACCUUGUAGCCUGGGUUGGGCUUGAACUUGCAGCAUUCUGCCUCCUUCAGCCUCCUGAGUGGCUAAGAUUACAGGUGGGUCCAACUACACACAGCAGAGGAUGAGGAGGAGGCAGAGGGGGAGGAGGGGAGGAUUUUGAUGACUUUGCCGAUGCUGAGGAUUGAACCUGAGCCCUUUGCACUGAGCCCCAUCUGCAGCCCUUUUAAUGUUUUCUUUGACACAGGGCCUCACUAGUUUGCCCAAGCUAGGCUAGAGCCUGUGGUCCUCCUGCUCAGGCUUCUGAGUGCUGGAAUCACAGAUGUGCGCCACCAUUCCUAGUAGUUUCCCCUUUUAAAAAUAGUUUUGGAGGGCAGGGAUUUAGCUCAGUGGUUUCGCUGCCUGCUGCGCAAGCACAAGGACCCAAGUUCGAUCCCUGGUACCAAAAAAUAAAUAAAUAAAAAUAAAAAUAGUUUUGAAAACCUUUGAAAUGACAAUAAAUUCACAGACUUGCAAAGACAAAUGUGCCCUUCAGCCCGGCCAGUGGCAGCACCCUGCUUCAGGGCAGCUGCGUGCGAGCCAGGAAGUCGGUGGUUGGCGGAAUGCACGGAGCAUCCCCAGGUGCCAGGCUGCAGGCAUGAUGUCGCCUGCCUGCCUGCCGUGUUGGAUCUUAACACCUAUGACUCUCAGGAGACCCGACUGCUCUGUCGCCACCUCCUGGCCGGGAGGAGUUGUCCUGUUCACAGGUGAAGCGUGGGGUGCAGCCACGCGCAAAGUCACAAGGCCAGUGGGUAGUGGGGCAGCAGGGCCGCAGCGCUCUCCCUUCCACUCGUGCUCUCAGGGCAGAGGGCACAGCUGCGGCCGGGGCCCUCUCGGGGCUGAGCAGGCACGGGGCCUGCAAAGUCUCUGUGUCCAACAGCAGACGCCUGGGAGUGCAACCACAGGACUACCCACAGUGAGGGGUUCCAGGACGGUGACGGGAGUGAGGAGCCAGGUCUGCCUCAGCCCACCAGCCCUGAGGAGCAGCUUCCGGAUCACAGAGAAGACAGGGAUCCCCUUCUGGUGGCCACAGUGCAGGACAGAUACCACCUGUGACCCUCAGCCUCUCAUGCUGUCCCUGGGGUAGGAAUGUGGGCUGUGGCUGAGGAAUGGGAAGACCCAGGUCCCCAAACUGCUCCCAGAGCUGCUGUCUCCUGAAAUCCCACCAUCACUCACUCUGCUGGGGCUUUAUCAUUCCUGUGUUCCCGUCCUCCAGCUGACCCGCUCUAGUGUCACUGGCGAGUGAUGCCCUGCGGUCAGUGAUGAUGGAAAUGAAAAUCAAAGCACAAAAAUUAUAGAAAAAAGCUUUCUGUGAAAGUGACAGAAGAUAAUGGAGGUACAGCUCGACGAGGCCCUGCUGGUCCCCAACAAGGAAAGGAAGGGGAAGGAGGGAAAGGAAGGGAAAGGAGGGAAAGGAGGGAAAGGAAGGGCCCAGGGCGGGCGGCAGAGGGGCCACACUGAUGCAGGUCAGCAGGC